GAAGAGGAUGAAAAGAACAUAAACAAACCCGUUUUUAAAGUCGACUUCAGCUUUUAUUGUGUGAUAUUACCUUGGCAGCAUGUGUAAACUGUUCAUUUUGAGUAUCUUUUAAAACGUGCUAACACUGCUGCAAUGGAACAUAUCUAUGAAGAAAUCUUGAGCCCAUGUAAGAGAUUGAAAGUGUCCAGCAAUGUGCUACCAGAUGGUCUUCAUCAUCCCAACCUCCCACUGAAGGGUUACCAUGCUCCCCCGCCAUCAGUCAUGUCCUCUGAAGACAAGAAAACCCGACCUCUCAAAGUCCUACAGAAUGAAGGUCAAAUAAGAUUGUCAGCUUAUAUGAAUUUUGGAUUACUGACAGUUCAUGUUAUUCAAGCCAGACACCUAACUUCAAAGUUCUCACCAUUAUGUAAUGCAAUUGUAAAGAUGUCACUAGUGCCGGAUGAAACGAGAAAAUCAAGAUGCAGAACAGAAGUUGUGAAUGGAUCCAAUAACCCACUUUUUGAUGAGAAAUUCUCCUUUGAGCUUCUAGAAGAAGACAACAACAAACGGCUGCUGAUUUCUGUUUGGAACAAAGAAUCUGGAAACAGUGAGUUUUUGGGAUGUACCUCUUUUGGCAUUCGUCACCUGAUUAACCCCAGGAAGGACACAGAUGGAUGGUACUAUCUGCUGACCGAGGAAGUAGGUCGUAAGAAGCACUUGAAGUUGUCCAGUAAAAACCAACCAAAACUGCAAGUCAGAAAUCAGAGAGAAAAUGUGCCCCCCAUUAACAAGGACAUUUGGGGAAUGGAGUCGCUCACAGUGACAGUACACAGGGGAGAGCAUGGUUAUGGAUUCUCUGUGGUAGAGAGCUGUCCUGUCAAAGUUGGCCGAGUUGAUAGAGGGUCCCCUGCAGACCAUGCUGGGCUUUGUCCAGGAGACUGUAUCAUCAGAGUCAACAAUCAGAACGUGUCACGAUCCCAGUCAGCAAGUGUAGCCAAGCUAGUCAAGAGUGCUGGUCCAACCUUGACAAUUGACAUCCAGCGUUCCAAGGCUUACGAGAUCCUGGACUCCGCAUCAUGGCAGCAGGUGCUCCCUCCCAACUCCUCCAUAGAACAGAUGGAGCUGAGGCGAGGCCAGGAUGACAACAACUCGGGAGAGCUUUCUGAUGACAGUCACAGGACUGACGGAUCCGUGGAUGAGGGCAUCUUCUCCCUGCCCAGCCAUCUCAUCACCAGCACCCCACUCCCUCUCUUCUUGAAUGGACACCAGACUGUGCCAACUCCUGACAAGAGGAAACAAGAAGCCAUCCACAGGUUGAUGAGCAUAGAGAUGGAUUUCAUUGAUGUCAUGCAUGCUGGAAUGCAGCGCUACUCCAGACCACUUCGUCAUUGCAUUUUAAACCCAAGACAACAUUUUACACUCUUCCAAAACAUUGAAAAGAUCUUUUUCAUUAUUUGCAGUUGGUUACCAUUUCUGAGUACCAUCUCAAGCAGAUCAAUGACAACAUGCCCUCCUUCUGUUCGGACACUGAAGGAUCUUUUACAUCCAGUGAAGGAGGACACAACUUCUCCAUUGGAAUGAUCUAUCAAUCAAAGGUACAUAUGCUUUCCCAGGCCUAUGACUUGUAUUCAAAAGGAUUGGGAGAGGCCAAUGACCUCCUAUCUGAUCUACGAAGAUCAACAGAAUUUGUCAAAUUUGUUCGGGAACCCCCUUUGGAGCCUCAGCAACCCUCCAUCAGCACAUUUUUAACCAGACCAGUUCAUCACAUUCGAGAACUUUACCAAGUACUACAAGAUAUCUUCAUGAACACCUCGAAUGAAGAGAGUGACUUCAGAGGCCUCAAACAAGUUGUAGAAAGUUUAAAUGAGUGUGUGGGGAACAUCUCAAACUACAGCUGCGUGGACAGAGUUCCCAGUAUCUCCUCCCUGGCCUCCUCAACAGGGAGCACUGGUCACUCCAAGACAGAGGCGGGCUCUGUGUCAGGGAAAGGCGUCCUGGCCCCGUCCUGUUCCAUGAAUACAGUGCGGUCCAUCGACUCAGAAGUAGCCAGAAUACAGGAUAGGCUGGUGUUCUCAUCUAAAGUGUUGAAGUUCCAGCUUUGUACUGAGGACAGACAUCUGAUCUAUGCUGGGGACAUGUUCAGAUGGGAAGGAACAACUUGGAAGAAGCUGUUUGUACUGCUGUUCUCUGACAUCCUGGUCCAAACAGAACAGGACAGAAGUGACCAGUUACAUGUGAUGUAUGAACCUGUGUACCUGAAGCACAUCACACAGGUGGAUGGACAGAGAAAUCACACCACAGAACUUGUCAUUCACCAUGCCUCCAACACAACCCCUCAAGGAAUACCCAUUACCCACAAGAUGCUUUUCCGGGCCCCAACAACAGAGUUGAAGUACACAUGGAAGUCCCUGCUGGAACAGAAGGUACACAACGUUCGGGGGACGUCGACCACAGACUACUACAGCCUCAGUGACUGCUCGGGGUCCGCGGUCAUCAUAUGAAGUCAUAGCCGUGAAUGGCUACCGACUGAAUAGUAGUGCUUCAUCUCUAAUCCGAAACAGUUAAUCUGAUGUGAAUUUGUAAUGGAGACUCAAGUCUGAGUUGAGUUUGUAAGAACUUUGAUGUCAUGGCCUUUUAAAGAUAUUAUACACUGUCAGUGUACUAUCAAAUAAAUCUUUGUGUUCAGUAGCUGUUCUGUAGCUGUAAAAUUUUUAUGUAUUUGUUGAUUGCAGAAUAUUGCUUGUUACGUUAUUUUAAUGACCUAGAUUCAUUAUUUUGGGAGUACAUAUUCUCUUGUGUGUACAGGAACUAUGUAACAAACAUAGCUAGUCAAAUAAAUAGUAAGUUAUUAGUCCAGAUGACUUGCAGUACUAUUUGUAGGUUUUUAUCCAUAUAGCAGUAUGUAAACAUUUGUUUCUUAAUGUUUAGCUACUAUGUUUAUUCAGAGCAUUUCAAUACUCAGUAAUAUUUUUAACCACCAUUGUAUUCUCAGUGAUAUAUUUUAUUGGAUUUUACAUUACAUGGAAUGGGAUGUAGUGAUUGUAUUUUUAGACGAAGUAUGACUAGUAUGGAUAACAUAGUAAACAAGAGAUGGGAGUGUGUUUCAAAUAGAUUGUACUUAUGAGUUGAUGAGGAAGAUAUUCCUUGAAUUGUGUUCAAUUAAAAGACAAGACAUGUAAAAGUAAACUAAUUACUUGUAGUUUUGUGUUGUACUUUUAAUACACUUUUUGAGAUAUUUUUAUCUGUUUUAUAUUUGUUUUUUUCUGACACGAAAGUGCUAUUGUAUUUUAUAUUUGGAAUUUAUGUUACGUUAAAACUUCGGAAAUCCUUUCACUUUGUCAUACCUCCUUCCACGUUUGUGGACCCACUUUUCCUCCUUUUUUUCUGUCCUCUGAACUUUGUAGUAUUUAUUUUUUUUUAGACCUAUUAGACGAUUAGAAUAGAAACUUUUUGUAAAUUUAUUAGAAAAAAGUAAAUGCAUAUAAAAACAAGAUCAAG
rnacentral:misc_RNA from 1 species